rnacentral:rRNA from 1 species
AACGAACGCUGGCGGCAUGCCUAACACAUGCAAGUCGAACGAGACCUUCGGGUCUAGUGGCGCACGGGUGCGUAACGCGUGGGAACCUGCCCUUAGGUUCGGAAUAACUCCCCGAAAGGGGUGCUAAUACCAGAUAAUGUCUUCGGACCAAAGAUUUAUCGCCUUUGGAUGGGCCCGCGUUGGAUUAGCUAGUUGGUAGGGUAAAAGCCUACCAAGGCGACGAUCCAUAGCUGGUCUGAGAGGAUGAUCAGCCACACUGGGACUGAGACACGGCCCAGAAUCCUACGGGAGGCAGCAGUGGGGAAUAUUGGACAAUGGGCGAAAGCCUGAUCCAGCAAUGCCGCGUGAGUGAUGAAGGCCGUAGGGUUGUAAAGCUCUUUUACACGGGAUGAUAAUGACAGUACCGGGAGAAUAAGCUCCGGCUAACUCCGUG